rnacentral:sRNA from 1 species
UUAUCAUAUGUGAACGAUACGUGUAAAUGACAUCAUUAGUUAAAUUCUUGGCAGCAUCGCAUGACAUCAUUACCAUUUUGAUUUCUUCAACUUCUUCAAACGAUGGUUCCAGGUAAACAGAUGAAACUGCACCAUAACUCACGAUUUUAACCUUCUUUUUGCGCACACCAACCAGUUCAGGCUCCCUAACCACCCUCCAUCGAGCAAGCGACACAACAAUUUUUGGAUGACCAUAGCGCCGGUAACAGGUAUCAAAUUCCAAUGCCUUUCUCCCAGUGGCCUCACAGUCUAGAACCUCUUUGCUGCAGUAGGAAAACAUCUAACAAUUUGAAACACACAAAAUUAUAAUAUUUUUGGGAAUUUAAGCCGGAAAACUUACUAUCUGUCCAUUAAUUUAAAAGGAAUGAUCAUCCCCUCUACGCCAUCGUCGGGAUCACCAGAAUGAGACAGAAUUUCAACUUCAACAACAGCACCGACGAGAUCUGUACUUUCAGUGUAAGUUUAGAUCAAACCCUACCCUCAAAAAUGUUGUUAAUAAGAAUCAAUUGAUAAGUUAAUAAACAUAGACUUACCGACCAGUUAGUCGGUAUCGAAAGUCCCCUCCAAUAUGUUGUCGAAGGAAGUGAAAUUGUUGAACUGGAUAGCGGUGUUCGGAUCUACGGAUGUUACAACCGUCUCGUCCAUCAAGUAAAUCCCAUAUUCAGCCGUCGUAGUCUUGACUUGAUCAGAAUUAGGUAUAACCUUGAAGUUGGUUAACACGAUCCAUUUAUUUUCAGAGAUCUUGUCGAAGUAGAAGGCAGAAAAGCGUCGGUGGAUUGUAACCUCCAUCCUCAUCCCCUAUUCAGAAACU